rnacentral:lncRNA from 1 species
UAAAAACCAUCAAAUGCCAAACAGAAACAGCAAUAAGUUGCAGUUGCUGUAUACCUGUAUUUUUUUUUUUUAUCACAUUAUCUUUACAUAUUAGCAAUGCAGCAACGUAUGCAAUGCUGGUGUUAGAAGUGCCGUUCUCCAAUAUCUUGUCUGUUGCUGCUAAAUCUAUCACAAAUAUUGCCUGUUGAACUACCAGGCCACAAUGUAAUUACGGUGCGUAUAUUUCUCGAAUUGAGGAAUCAAAAUGCGGAAUCGGAAUCAUUAAUGAUGUUUAUUUCAUAAAAUGGAGGUAAGAAUAGGAAUUGGAAUCAUGGGAUCCACUCGAAUUUGAGAAUAAUAGAGAAUAGGAGAUUAAUUUGUAAGGAGGGUGAGAAUCAAUCUUUCGUUUCUAGGAGAUUACUUUCUACACUUAUUAACAUUUUAAUAUUCCCGAAAUACCCUCUUUUAAAAGAAAAAUAUAAAUACCAAAAAGAUUUUUUUAAAAAAAUCCCUAAUUCAUGAUACUCCUCUUGUUUUAGCUCCACCGAGUCGAACUCCAUCAGCACUUCUCGUCACCAUUGCUGCCAAAAUCAACCACCGUCAUCGUCAUCGUCGGUCCGUCAACUGUGAAGCAGCAAGUCGUUGCCAGUUUCAUCUUCGUCAAAUGCCGGUUUCAUCUCAGUUUGUGGAUGCCGCUCAUGUUGGCCGUUUCAGUUUUCACAGCUUGUCCUCGCCGAUUGUCUUCACCGCCAAUUUCAAGCUUCUCAUCAUUGCCGAUUUAUUGUUAUUUCAAAAGUUUGCCACCUGUUUAUUUUGGUCCAUACAAGUUUUGUAAAUUACCUAUGAAUUUUAUAAUAUUUGCACAUAAG